rnacentral:rRNA from 1 species
GAUGAACGCUGGCGGCGUGCUUAACACAUGCAAGUCGACCGGAAAGGCUCCUGCUUGCAGGGGUACUCGAGUGGCGAACGGGUGAGUAACACGUGGGUGAUCUGCCCUGCACUUCGGGAUAAGCCUGGGAAACUGGGUCUAAUACCGGAUAGGACCACAUUUUGGAUGGUGUGGUGGAAAGUUUUUCGGUGUGGGAUGAGCUCGCGGCCUAUCAGCUUGUUGGUGGGGUAAUGGCCUACCAAGGCGUCGACGGGUAGCCGGCCUGAGAGGGUGUACGGCCACAUUGGGACUGAGAUGCGGCCCAGACUCCGACGGGAGGCAGCAGGGGGGAAGAUUGCACAAUGAGCGCAAGCCUGAUGCAGCGACGCCGCGUGGUGGAUGACGGCCUUCGGGUUGUAAACUCCUUUCGCUAGGGACGAAGCGUUUUUGUGACGGUACCUGGAGAAGAAGCACCGGCUAACUACGUG